UACGUAGGUGGCAAGCGUUAUCCGGAAUUAUUGGGCGUAAAGAGCGCGCAGGUGGUUGAUUAAGUCUGAUGUGAAAGCCCACGGCUUAACCGUGUAGGGUCAUUGGAAACUGGUCGACUUGAGUGCAGAAGAGGGAAGUGGAAUUCCAUGUGUAGCGGUGAAAUGCGUAGAGAUUUGGAGGAACACCAGUGGCGAAGGCGACUUUCUGGUCUGUAACUGACGCUGAGGCGCGAAAGCGUGGGGAGCGAACAGGAUUAGAUACCCCGGUAGU
rnacentral:rRNA from 1 species